GCUAGGUACAGUGGCACAUGCCCCUAGUCCCAGCUACUGAGGAAGCUGAGGCAGGAGGAUCUCUUGCUCAGGAGUUCGAGGCUAGCCUGGGCAACACAGCCAGACCCAGUUUCAA
rnacentral:sRNA from 1 species